CUGAAAUGCAGCAAGCAAAAGAUCACUAGCCUUAUGAACAUACAUAUUUUAAUGUCAUAAUUUUAGUUCAAUGACGAGUGGAUGGAUGAAUGGUGAAUGGAUGAUAUCGGAAAUGUGACAAGAAGGAAUGACCGUAUAAAUAAAUAUAAACAUGAUAAUGCCGUUAAACGUGAAUGAUAAUUACUUAGAGUUGAUUAAUAAGUUUGUUAUAUUUACAUACAUCGAUAGGACAUUUGUGGCAACGUCAAUAACAAAUUUCAAUUCAAUUUCUACCAUAUGUGGCCACAACAAUUCACUGACAUUUUCAUUUAACAAAUGUGACGUCAAAAACGAAAUUGAUUGAUAACACUGGCCAGCGCAUUUGAAAUAAACAUCAACAUAAUUUUUUUUUUAAAUACAAAUCAAU